rnacentral:rRNA from 1 species
UACGUAGGGGGCAAGCGUUGUCCGGAUUUAUUGGGCGUAAAGAGCGUGUAGGCGGCCAGACAGGUCCGUUGUGAAAACUCGAGGCUCAACCUCGAGACGUCGAUGGAAACCGUCUGGCUAGAGUCCGGAAGAGGAGAGUGGAAUUCCUGGUGUAGCGGUGAAAUGCACAGAUAUCAGGAAGAACACCCGUGGCGAAGGCGGCUCUCUGGGCCGGUACUGACGCUGAGGAGCGAAAGCGUGGGUAGCAAACAGG